GGUUAAAGAGGAUUUGGGUGGAAUAGGAAGUGGGCAGGCCAAGGUCUAGGCUGGACUAUGCCGGAGUGGAAAAUGGUAGCUCGUUGGUGGCUACGAAUCUGGGGGUGUAGGGGUGUCUGGGUACACCCCUACAGUUAAACAUAUGGUUAUGGGGCCUCUUUGGUAGGCCAUGGGUUAAACGUUAUGUAUUAUUGGAAUGUUUUAUUAAUGUUAUUUGGUAGGGUCAUUGUCGGGGGUAUUGGGCAAGAAGGUCGG